rnacentral:lncRNA from 1 species
AACCAGAAGACUAAUCCAGAAAAAUAAAGUUUCCGAUGCCAAGAAACUGAAUGACAUAAAAAGAGACAUGGCCCAGCUAGAAUGGUAUAAGAAGAAAUCGGAAAUGGGUUACUACGAUUGCUUCAAAAACCAGGGGUCUAAAAGGGACCUCAACGUUGAACAGUUUAGGGGAAACCUCACAAUGUACUGGGAAGACAUGGUUGCACAAGUACAGAGGAAGCCCCAGGAGGAAGGAGCAACAUUUCGAACCCGUUGGUUCUAUGCAGGGACAGUUUAUAGGAGAAUGGUUGAACCACUGGACAUUGCUGCCUUCUAUAGAGAGGGUGGAACAGACUACAUAAACAAUGGAAGAUCUCUUCAUUACAAGCUGUUGCAGCAAUGGUAUGAAGAAGAUGUGAAACCCCCCUCUAGAGAUAAGCUUGAUUCCAAGAAGCAAAAGGUGUCUGGUAUCCUAACUGAGGAUUCUUUGUUUUGGGCACAUGUGGAGGAGGCCAUCUUGUCAUGCGAAUUGCUCAAGAGUAAAAACUGUACUCUUGAGCAGGGAAAAUCAUCAUGGGAUAAUCUAGUUAAGUUCGAGGAGUAUGUAAUGGAACAGAUUAACAACUAUGCAGCGUCCCCUGAGAUUUUCUUGCGGGAAAGCAGCUUCAUGAAAUGGUGGGGACUGUAUGAGGGCUACAUAGAUACUUGCAGUAAUUCCCAUGGGUCGCAAUUGAUCAACUUCAUGAAGAAACGUAGCUAUAUGAAGUAUGGUUAGAGGGGCAAUCCAGUUUGUGUGUUGUGUUUAUUGUUUUGUGAGCGUUCAAUGGAUAAAACUAGAAAGAGUGUGACCUUUUUCCCUUUUUCUUGGUUGCUGCCCAUAUUCUCAGCACUAUUUUCUUCCUUCUUUUCCUCUGUUUUUUUUGAUAGGAAAUGAAUAUUAUGAUGUUGCUGGGAUGCACUUNNNNNNNNNNNNNNNNNNNNNNNNNNNNNNNNNNNNNNNNNNNNNNNNNNNNNNNNNNNNNNNNNNNNNNNNNNNNNNNNNNNNNNNNNNNNNNNNNNNNAGGGGAAGAAAAACAUGUUUGUUUAGAUUCAACUCCACCAAAACUUGCAACAACUUCCCAUUGAAAAUUUCCUUUUAAGCUUCUGACUGACAUAAAACUAGAUAUGUUCCAGCUAGAACGGUACAAGAAAGAAAUCAAAAGAUGAGCACAAGUAGAGAGGAAGCCUCACCAGGAAGGGGCAGCUUUGCAAACCCUCUGGCUCUGUACAGGAACGAAUUAUAGAAAGAUGGUUGAACCACUUGACAUUGCUGCCUACCACAGAGAGGGUGGAAGACACUACAUAACCAAUGGAGGAUCUAAACAUUACACGCUAUUGGAGCAAUGAUGCAAUGAAGAGGAGAAGGGGGCUUUGUCUUCUCAUGCAAAUUGCUCUCAGAGCUCAGAACCUACUCCUGAAGGGAAAGAAUCAUCAUGGAGUGAUCUGGUUAAGUUUGAGGAUUUAUUUAUAUAAUUGAACUGAUUGGAAGCUAUGCAGUGUCGGCCCCCGCCCGAGCAGCUUCAUGAAACGGUGGAAAGAGUUGGAAGAAGUCAUAGAUACUUGCUAUAGGAGCUUCAUGAAGUAUGGAGAGGUGUGGCAUAGAUACUUGCAGUCUCUGAAUUUCCCAAAUCCAAUUUCAGAUUGUGUUUUUAGAUUCGUGGAACUUGUUUUCGGGCUUUUUGUUAGGUACAAUUGAGAUGGGCUGAACCGAAAGGCCCGCCAGGAUGAACAAUAUAAUGGGCCUGAAUUUUAAACCAGUGGAUGGGUUUUGUACUGGAUUCAGCUGUCUGAGCCCAAUGAGUAUUGAAUGUGUUUCUGUAUAAAAUUAAAUUUUUAACAUUGAAAUAUAAGGACUUACUUAAAAACACAUUUGGUAACUUUUUUUUUUUUUGGUUAAUAAUAAAUUUUUUUAAAAAAAAUUAAAAAUAUAUAAUUUUUUUAGAAUAAAUUUGAGGCAUGUUUAGGUAUUUUUUGUGGUAAAGAGUUUUGAGAAGCAAUGAGAAAUAUACAGAAUACUUUAAAAACUUUUGCAUAAGUAAGAUACUUACACGAGGCUUUUAUGAAAAAUAAAUCGAUAAAAACAAUUUUUAUAUUUGAAUUUCAAAACAUAAAACAACUUAGAACUGUUUUUAAAAACUGUUCUUAAAAAUAGUUUUCUAUUAACUCACAUUCAAGGAUGCUUUUAUCUUUUAUUUUUCUAUGUUUCAUCCUUGCAUAAAUGGAGUACAAAGUCGUAAGUUAAUCUAAUUAACAAAUAUAGAUAAUCAUCCGAUAAAUGAGUAAAUUAGGUGAUGAUCUCUUUAUAUAUGCAAGUAAUGGAAUGAAUGUGAUAAAAAAAUAAAAUAAAAAAGUAAGGGGAGAAAUGUUGUAAAUAAAAUGUUUUUAUUGUGGUUCAACGACCUAUCCACUUCCACACCUUGACAUAUUUCACAAUUUUAAAAGUUUUUUUAAUCAUGAUUCUCCUUAUUGUUCUUUAAGUCUGGAUUUCUUAAGUUUCAAUAGACUUUUACAAUCACUAAGAUGACGUUUGUUUUUUCACUUAAUUCUAAAUAUAAGUUAAAACUAAAUAAUAUUUAAUAAUAUCAAGUAUUAGGUUGUUUUUUUUAUAACAUUUUAUUUCUAUAUAAUAUUAAAAAGUAAAGAAAAAUCAGUAUGUUUUUUUUUUAUUUAAAAAAAGUCAAAUAUUUUGACUUUUUUUUAAGCUAAAAAUUUAUAAUAAAAAAUAAAAAAUAAACAAACAAACAAACAACUUGAAGUGUAAAAACAGAUUGUUUUCAAUAAAAAUUUUAAAAAAUAAACACCUUAUAAAUAAAAUUCCUUAACCACUCGUACAAUAGCUUCUUUAAGCACAAAAUGUAUUGAAGCGCUCACAAUGAAAAGAUAAACAAGUUUGGAUUUAAUAUAAUUUUGGGUUAUCUAAUUAAAAAGGUGUAGACCCCCGGAGGCAGACAGUUUUUUUAGUUAUUAUUAUUAUUUGUUUAUUUUUAAUUUUUCCUACCUUUUUCUUCCCAAGCCGCUCGACAUGAUGGGACUAAAGUGGGCUGGUUUUUGGGGCAGAGAGGGGACUCAAGUGGGCGUUUUUUUUUUUUUUUGGGCGGCAGAUGGGAUGGUGUACGGGGGAUGGCUUGUGGAGGAAGACUCAAAACAGGGGAAGGAAGCGAAAGAAAGGCAGGAAAAAAAGUGUUGGAGGACGGGGGGGAUACCUUGCUCAAGGAGAAAACUUUCAGGUAAAAUUUUCUGUGAACUCCAUGUUUCUUCGUUAUGACAUUAUUGUGCUCACUUCUUUUGUUGAUUCCAGGAUGUGAUUUGUUGGUCGGUUUGGAUGUCAUGGAUUAUUGGUUUAUUUUUGCUGAAUUUAUCCGUGUGCGGAGGUGCUCUGUUUGACUCUAUUCUGGUUUCCCUAACUCCUUCCAUAAGCACCUGAAUGUAUGAAUUCAUCCCUGAGCCCGAUUAUAUAAAAAUCAUGCUUUGUUCCCUGUGGUUUCUUCCCUCUGUUUGUUGCUCUAUUCCUUGUUGGUUGUGGGAAUGAGGUCAUCGAUGGCCAGGUUAUCGAAACUGGGGAAGUGACUUCGUGAACGGAUCACCUUCUAUGCACCCAUCUCAUCUUUCUCAUUCACUCAUCACGGCUACACUUCCAUGAUUACACCAUCCUCAGUCAAAUACAUAUCUCCAUACCCAUUUUUCACCUUUCCCGUACCUUCCUCACCUAUCCAUCACACCCAUCGUCAUAUCUAGUUCAUCACUAACCCAUUUUCCUCUCGCCAGCCGUGGUUAUGCUUCGUCCAUCUCAUGCAUACGAUCCCUCACUACUAUUCCUAUAUUCUCAUCCUUCCAAACUCCUCAACACAACACCUAACCCUCAUACCUGCACCCCGCCAUGCCCGCGCCUAGCUCACCCCCAUAGGAACCUCAAAGCCGUUCGCCUACUUGCAUGGGAGCCAUGCAUGCCGCCCCUCCCCGCGUCUUCCUGCACCGGCUAUGUGCGCGCCUGCACCAGCCACCAAUGGCGGCAGCGCCUUCUGGACGUCGCCAGGCCGCUGCCACCUGCUCCGGCAACGCGCGCGCCUGCACCAGCAGCCAUGGCGGCGGCACCUUCUGAACGUCACCAGACCGCCGCCACGGCUCCCCUCUUCCCCGCGCCGCCGCUGCUCCUCUUUUCCCCGCGCCGCCAUGGCUCUCCUCUUCAUCGUGCCGCCGGUGGAGUCUUCGCGGGUGGAGAGGCAAUUGGUGAAGAGAAGCUUUGCCCAUGAUGGUUUUUGGGCUUGGGUUUGAACUGGGAACCCAGGCCCAAGCCUAUGAAGAGAAGCCCAGGUUUAUGAAGGCUUUAAUUGCCUUGGGCUUGCCCAUUAAUAUCAUAUGGAUUGGGCUUGAUGAGGAUGGGGCUUAUUGGUGGAUUUGGGCUUGACUAGGUUUGGGCUUUAUUAGGGUUGCUGAUGGACUGGGUUUGGGCUCUAUUAUUAUUAUUAAUUCAACAUUUAAAAUACUAUUAUUAUCAUUGUUAUUAAUCAAACUUUUAAAAAUCUUAUUAUUACUAUUAUUAUUAUUACGUUUAUCAUUAUUAUUAUUUCUAUUCAACAUUUAAAAUAUUAUUAUCAUUAUUAUUAUUAAUUCAACAUUUAAAAUAUUAUUAUUAUCACUAUCAUUAAUCCAAACUUUCAAAACCCUAUAAUUAUUAUUACUAACCCAAAUUUCAAAAUCUAUUUAUUUAUUAUUAUUUAUUAUUAUCAUUAAUCCAAAUUUCAAAAUCUAUUUAUUAUUGUUAUCCUUAUCAUUAAACCCAACCUCCAAAAUCUCAUCAUUAUCAUUAUUAUUAAUUCAAACUUUCAACACCUAUUUAUUAUUAUUUAUUAUUAUCAUCAGUCCAAACCUCCAAGAUCUCAUCAUUAUUAUUAUAAUUAACUCAACUUUCAAAAUUUAUUUAUUAUUAUUAUCAUCAUUAAUCCAAGCUUUCAAAAAUCUCAUCAUUAUUGUUAUUAUUACCUCAACUUUCAAAAUCUUAUUUUUAUUAUUAUCAUUGAUUAAAACUUUCAAAACCUUAUUAUUAUUAUUAAUUCAAACUUUCUAACUUCCAAUUUCCAAGCCCAAUUUAUAAAAAUUCAACCUUCAAAUGAUACUCCAAAAUUCCGAUCUUUAAAACUCAAUUUCGAUUUCCGAAAAUUCUCAUACUCACUUUAAUCUAUUUAAUUAUUGUUAUUUUGAUUAUUUAUUUCAAAACCCCAUUUCAAAUCAAAUUCUCUAAAACUUCUGAUUCUCGAAUUAAAUUCCUAAUCCCAAAAAUUCUCAUGUUCGCACUAAAUUAUUUGAUCAUUGAUAUUUUAUUUAUUUAUUUAUUUCAAAACUCCAUUUUAAAUCAAAUUCUCUAAAACUUCUGAUUUCCGAAUUAAACUCCUAAUCCCAAAAAUUCUCAUGUUCUCAUUAAUUUAUUUAAUCAUUAGUAUUUUAUCUCCAUUUUAAAUCAACUCUUUAAAACUUCAGAUUUACAAAUUAAAUUCCUAAUCUUGAAAAUUCCCAUAUUCACAUUAAUUUAAUCACUAAUAGUUUGUUUAUUUAUCUUAAAAUUCUAUUUUAAACAAUUCUUUAAACUUUCUAACUUCUAAAUCUAAUUUCCAAUUUCAAAAAUUCCAGCAUUCCAUUCAUUUAUUUAAUCAUUAUUUUCGUCCUUAUUAUUAUUAGUCCAUUUAUUUACUUCAAAAUUUCAUUUUUAAACAUUUUUUUGAAUCCCAAUUUUCGAACUUAAUUUCCAAUUUCUAAAAUUCUAAUUUCCUUCAAGUUUGACAUCCCAAAAUUCCAACUCUUAAAUUUAAUUCUCAAGACUCCAAUCUUCAAAUAAUUUUCGAGACUCCAAUUUCCAAAUAAAUUUCAAAAAUUCAAUUUUCUCUCUAACAGUUUUAAUUCUCUUCGGGUUUCAAAUAAUCUUCGAUUUCUCUUGAUUUUAUAUAAACAUGAAUGCUAUUUUCAUAAUUCCAGAAUAAUGGGAUUUGUGAUAUUAAUUCCUGCAAAAAUGAAUGGGCUUUGGUGGGGGCCCAACAUACGUGCUUUCCUCAUGAUUGAUUGAUUGUUUGAUUGAUUUAAUUGCCAUGCGUGCUUGAUUUUAUUCUGCUCUAUGGCAUGCCCGAAAUUAUCCUUUAAUUGUGCACUAACCUCACUUUUUGAUAAGCGCAUUGUGGCUCGUCACCCAGGUACGUAUCUAUCCCCAUUCUGAUAUUUCCAUAUACAUGUUUUGAUUCUCCUAUGUGCAUGAUAGUUCCGGGUAUUCAUUGUUUUUCCUCAUCAAUUGCCAUGAUUGCUUCAUUUUAUUAGUAGAGACCCAUUUAGGGACUUAGAGGGGUGCUACGGUUCAUACCGUACCUUCCUGAUAAGUAACCUGACCCUCGGACCCGAUCCGGUUUUUCACAGACCACCUUUUCCAAAGUAAGGAGUCACACUUAGGGUUUUUCUUUCUUAUUUUGUUUACCCUUUUAAAAAUAAAACAAAAAUAAGUGGCGACUCCAAGUCAUUUUCUUAAACAAUAAAAAAUCAAAUUUUCAAAUAAAAAUCGAGUCCGCCAUUGAGUGGGAAACGCAUGAGCCGAAAUGCGGGGUCCACAAAAGGUCAUUGAAAACCCAAUUUUAGAAAUAUAACCCUUCAUCAUUUUUUUUAUCUCAUGUUAACAAAAAUGCUCUUAUUAUUUUCUUAUAAAAAUAAUCAUUUCUUUUAAAACACACUAUAAAUACUCCAAAUAGUCAGGGGCUUUUAUGUAUAAAAAAAUGAAUUACUCUUUAAAUAAAAAUAUUGGAGGGAAUAAAUUAACAAAUAUGAGGUAUUUCAUCCCUUUUAUCUAAUUAUUUCUAUAAUUUUAAGAGUUUAAGAAGGCUAGACAAAGACUAAUUAUUAGGCACAUUUUGUAAAAACACUAGUUAUUAGACACAUUUUUCGCUCAAUCAAUCAAUCACGGAGUUGACUAGACACUAAUUAUUGGACUUUUUUUUUUUUUUUUUUAUAAUAAGUGAAAGACAAGAAUACAAUCGACUACUUUGGUCAAUUAAACAAUCAUUCAGUUGACUAUAAACUAAUCUUUAGAUUUUUUUUUUUAUAAUAAUUGGAAGACAUGAAUACAAUCGAUUACUUUGAUUAAUUAAUCAAUUAUUCAAGAAAUUUAGAAAAAUAUUGGAUAAAAGAUAUAUAUAACGGAUUAUUUCAAAUUGAAACUUAAGAUUAUAAAUCUUACUUUUAAUGUUGAAAAAUCAUGUAAAACACAAGUUUUUAUCUUUGAAGUAAUCAAUUUCAUUUUUCACAAAAAAUCAUUAAUAAUGCAUGAAUGAAUUCUUUUAAAAAAUCUUAUAAAAAAUGUGAUUAUUUUUCAUUCCCAAAUACUUAGGUUCUAAAGAUCAAUUUUAAAGCAUACUUAUCCUUACUAUGCCUUACAAGAAAAUCUAUUCUAUACAUAUGAUCUUGUAAAAAAAUGUAAAUAAAAAAAUAAAAUAAAAUAAAAAGAAAAAAAAAAGCCUCUCUUGUUUUCCUCUUUUGACUGGAUAUCAUUACCAUACCUAAAAUUAAAUAUUUAAUUAAAAUAUUAUUUUACUAUCAUCAAAAUUUAGAUUUAACCAAACUUUAGGCUAGUAUGUUGAUACGAUAAGUUAAUUUUCUAUCUUAAAGUUUUAAAAACUUUUGAAAUUAAACAUUUUCUUACACAUUUAUUUUUAAAGUUUUUUAGCAUAAAAUUUAAAAUUGAAGCUUUUAAGGGAAAACCUCAUAAUAUAAUAUACUAGAAAGACAUGGUCAAACAAAUAGAGACGAAGCCUCAAAAGGAAGGGGCAAUGGUUGAACCACUUGACAUUGUUGCCUACUACUAAGAUGGUGUAAGAAACAACAUAACCAAUGGAACAUAUGCACAUUAAACAUUGUACAAUUAUUAUAAAUGUCUUAUACAUUAUGUGUGAAAAUACGAAAUAAAUAAAUAAAAUUAUAUUCAACAUUUAUAUUUGUAUACAAACAAUAUUUUCGAUAGUUUGAUAUAAAAAAACAAAUAAAAAAAUGAAGAAAAGCAUAUAAAUAUAUUUUCAAUGGACAAACUUAUUCAAUUAGUAUAAAUAUCUUGUAUAUUUAAUACAAAUACCUUAUACUUUGUGAAAAUGUAAAAAUAUAGUAUUUGAUAUUUAUAAAUGUGGGUAAGUAAUUUUUCUAAUGGUUUGAUUUAAAAAAAAAAUAAUGAGAAUCAAGAAAUACAUGCAAAUAAAUUAGUGUGAAUGAUAAAGGAUGUUUUUUUACCAUAAAUUUUCAUGGACUUAGCAUCAAUUAUGCAUCUAUAGAUGUUAACCCAAUUAGCAUAAUGUGAAAACCCUUACACACAAUAUAUAAACCCUAUACUUGAAUUAGGAAGGACAAAAAAAAAAUAGUUAGAGCAUUUGGUACCAUCAAUGAUGACUUCACCUAAAGAAAAGUUAAUGAACAUUAUGUUCUCAAUGGAAGAGCAACCCUAGUAGGACAUAUGGAGUAAAUUGAUGCUCUUCUUUCGACAACGAAGUAGCUAAGUCAUGAAAAUGGGGUUUUGCUAACAACAUUAAAUGCAAGAAUUCCCCAAUAUACUGCAAUUCAUAUUCAAUUCAUAGACUUUCAACUAACUACUCUCAAUAACGAGCAAACCCAAGUCAAUACAUAAGAUUGAUUAUUACUUAUGAUAAUUGAAACCAUAAUUAAUAAGACAUAUAUAUAUAUAUAUAUAUAUAUAUAUAUAUAUAUAUAUAUAUAUAUAUAUAUAUAUAUAUAUAUAUAUAUAUAUAUAUAUAUAAAAAAAAUAGAGACAAUUGUGUUUUGGAUCCAGGUGGAUCAAAAAAUAAGGUUUGGUUUAUAGAACUUACAUAAUUGAUGGAAAUGAUAUAAGUUAUCAAAAGACCAAAAUACUCAUUGACCUUUCACGUAAGUUUUUUUGGUCUUUAUUGUACCACUAUUCAUGCAACCAUAAUAAUUUUAUUUUAACUAUUUGGAUUUUUCAUUGUUUUUUAAAACUUUUUUUUUUAUAAAUAAUUGAAAAUCAACAUUAUUUUCUAUUUUAAAUUAUAAAUAAAGAAAAAUUACGUUCAAAAACUAUUUUAAAAAAUACUUUCUAAAAAAAUGGUAAUAUGAUUUAUAUUUUUUACAUUUUCUAUUAGAAAAAAAUAUUUAAUUAAAAAUGAAAAAUAAUUUUUAAAAAUAAAAAUUGAAAACCUUGUUUAGUACUAUUUUUUUAUAUGAAAAUAAUAAAAAUAAUUAAAUUUCAUUAAUUGAUUAUCCAUUAAAUUUUAUAUGAAAAUUUUUUAUAAGAGUAAAAAGAUUCAAUAUCUUUAAAAAAAGAAAAAAAAAACAAAACAAAACAAUAAGUUAGAAAUGAGUAAUACUUAAUUGGGAAUAGAAAAGGGGAAAAAAUUGAAAUUUACACUCAUUAUAUGCCUAUGUAGGGAUUAAAGGUAUUUUAGGGAUUAAUGAAGGAUAAUAUCCUUUAACUUAAUUUUUAUAAUUUAUUUGGGUCUUGACCUUAAAUGUGCAUGAUAUAUGGAUCUUUGGUCAAUUUUUGGGCCCAUUCGGGCCCAAAAUACAAUUCUCCCUACAAAAAUAUUUAUUAAAAUAAAUUAAUUAAUAAAAGCCAUUUAAAGAGUUUCAUAACUUAGUAUCGAAGCUAUUGUAAGAAAAAAGUAUUAUAUAAUGUAGGGUUUAGGUUCAAAGUCUACCUAAGAUUAAAUUUAAGUCUCGAGACAAAUUCACAUUCAAAACUAGGUUUUUAAGUUUGAAAAAUAGAUCCCUUAAACAAAUUAAAUGGUAAAAAAUAAUUACAAAGAAAAUUUCUCUAGCUGGUUUCUUCAUCUUGAAAACUAACGGAAACAUAUAUUAAUAUUUGGUAUGAAAAUUCGUAACCUUAGAAACACAGCUUUGAGUCUUGCUGAGAAAAACAAAGCUUAUUUGCUCGUAGACCAUCGUAGUGGUCGUCAUACCGUGUGAGGACCGGGGAAGCAUCUUUGCUCGUAGACCGGCUUUUGUAGUCUUUCUUUAACAAUUACAAGUUGUCAGGAUUCCCUUCAUCCUCCCAAAUAAUAUUGUUUUUGGUCUUGUUCUGGUUGCAUCUCCGUGGAAGGAAAGAAGAUGAAUCAAGUUCCUUUGUAAGUAUCAAUGUCUCUGAUUCAUUUUUUGGUUCCUAGAAUCGAAUCCUCGCUCUGUUCUUGCUUAAUUUCUCCUUUUUCUGUUGGGUCUUUCACUGCAGGUUUAGCUCUGCACGGGAACUGGCAAAUUUGGUGCUGAGCUCCAAUCUAAUCGACUGUGCUUUCACCAAAAUUCUUGAACUUAAGAGAGGCCAAACAGCCUUGCCUGUUCAAUACAGACUUUAUCAACUGUCUUCCAAGUGCACAAUUGUAGCUUUUGUCUCUUCACCUGACUGCACUCAAUACCCUCUUCCUGGACAAGGAGAUUUAGAUCGGUCUCCUCUCUUUGACUUCCUCCGUACCGAAGAAUACCCGUCCGUCUCCAUUAACAGAGCAGCAUUAGCCCUCUAUACCCCUCUCCAUGAUCAUCUCUCUGGACUAACAGAUGAGGUCAAAAUCUGAUACUUGUUUGAAUUUUCGUUUCCUUUUCGUUAACAAUUGUGAGACACGAAACAGCUUGACCAUGAGAUCUCCCUCAUGGAGUCGAACUACCUGAAGGAUAAGACGUCACACAUAUCCAUUUUCAUGGCAUCGUCACAUGACCCAUUGAUCGGUUGUGAUUCAACUCUUAAUAGGAACACAGUAGAACUGGUGUUGGUAUAUCUGUCUUUAGAUAAGCUUGCAUAUAUCUUGUCACUGAAAAAGGAAUGUUCAGAAGUGAGAUUAGUGGCAUUAUUCUGACAUGGAUUUCAUAUGGUUACUUGUUUUGCAGUUGACUCAGAUUGAAGGUCAGUUAAUCAUCACUGGGCACUCCCUGGGAGGAUCCGUUGCUUCUCUCUUCACCUUACGCCUGCUAGAUGGCAAUUUAUUAAAACCCAAAUGCCGCCCCUUUUGUAUCACCUUUGGUUCACCCCUCAUAGGCGACUUUGGCCUCCAACACUCCAUAUGGAAUUCUUUCUUCCUGCAUGUAGUGUCUAACCAAGACCCAGUCCCCGGACUCUUCCUCCCAUCCGGCAGAUCUCCGCCCACAUCCUCCCAUUCACAAACUACCGGUUACAAGCCCUUUGGGACAUAUCUCUUGUGCUCUGAACUUGGUUGUGCUUGUUUUGACAACCCUGAUUUAAUUUUGGGAUUGCUUAAAGUCAUAUCAUCAGAGGUUGCCGGAGGAUUGCAGGAUGUUGACUAUGGGGAGAUUUUAAGAAACCUCAAGGAGAGGGCAAUCUGCAAGGGACUGCCGCAGGUGGGUGAACGGUUUGCAGAUCCAUUUUCAGCUGGGAUCAUCAUGGAACUUGAGACAAUUGGAUUUAAUCAAACAAAGGUAAACAGCUUUCUCCCAUCUAAUGAUGUUAUGAAACAUGGUUUACACUACACCAAAUACUGCAAUAACUGCCCUAUUCAGAUUUAUCUUCUUGUUCUUUGGGAUCUUCCAUAACUAGUCUCAUUUUUAAAAUUCAUGGCAGUUGCUGCAGCAUAACAUUGAUAUCAACGCUAUGAUAAGAACAAUGGAAGCGGAAACCAGAAGCCUAAUCCAGAAAAAUAAAGCUUCCGAUGCCAAGAAACUGAAUGACAUAAAAAGAGACAUGGCCCAUCUAGAAUGGUAUAAGAAGAAAUCGGAAAUGGGUUACUACGAUUGCUUCAAAAAUCAGGGGUCUAAAAGGGACAUCAACGUUGAACAAUUUAGGGGAAACCUCACAAUGUACUGGGAAGACAUGGUUGCACAAGUACAGAGGAAGCCCCAGAAGGAAGGAGCAACAUUUCGAACCCGUUGGUUCUAUGCAGGGACAGUUUAUAGGAGAAUGGUUGAACCACUGGACAUUGCUGCCUUCUACAGAGAGGGUGGAACAGACUACAUAAACAAUGGAAGAUCUCUUCAUUACAAGCUGUUGCAGCAAUGGUAUGAAGAAGAUGUGAAACCCCCCUCUAGAGAUAAGCUUGAUUCCAAGAAGCAAAAGGUGUCUGGUAUCCUAACUGAGGAUUCUUUGUUUUGGGCACAUGUGGAGGAGGCCAUCUUGUCAUGCGAAUUGCUCAAGAGUCAAAACUGUACUCUUGAGCAGGGAAAAUCAUCAUGGGAUAAUCUGGUUAAGUUCGAGGAGUAUGUAAUGGAACAUAUUAACAACUAUGCAGCGUCCCCUGAGAUUUUCUCGAGGGAAAGCAGCUUCAUGAAAUGGUGGGGACUGUAUGAGGGCUACAUAGAUACUUGCAGUAAUUCCCAUGGGUCGCCAUUGAUCAACUUCAUGAAGAAACGUAGCUAUAUGAAGUAUGGUUAGAGGGGCAAUCCAGUUUGUGUGUUGUGUUUGUUGUUUUGUGAGCGUUCAAUGGAUAAAACUAGAAAGAGUGACCUUUUUCCCUUUUUCUUGGUUGCUGCCCAUAUUCUCAGCACUAUUUUCUUCCUUCUUUUCCUCUGUUUUUUUGUUAAGAAAUGAAUAUUAUGAUGUUGCUGGGAUGCACUUUCAUUGUUGUUCUAUUACAUUGUGUUUUAUUUAUAUCCUAAACAAAUAAAUCAAAACAAGAAAAUCAAAUAAGACUUAAAGAGUCUUUUCCUUCAAAAAAAAAAAUGGGGAAAAAGAAAAACAUUUUUGUUUAGAUUCAACUCCACCAAAACUUGCAACAACUUCCCAUUGAAAAAUUCCUUUUAAGCUUCUGAAUGAUAUAAAACCAGAUAUGUUCCAGCUAGAAUGGUACAAGAAAGAAAUCAAAAGAUGAGUACAGUGGGUUAUUAUGACAGCUUUAGAAACCUGGGGUGUAAAAGAGACAUUAAAAUGGAACCGAUGGGAAGACAUGGUAGAACACGUAGAGAGGAAGCCUCACCAGGAAGGGGCAGCUUUGCAAACCCUCUGGCUCUGUACAGGAACGAAUUAUAGAAAGAUGGUUGAACCACUUGACAUUGUUCCCUACCACAGAGAGGGUGGAAGACACUACAUAACAUUACACGCUAUUGGAGCAAUGAUGCAAUGAAGAGGAGAAGGGGGCUUUGUCUUCUCAUGCAAAUUGCUCUCAGAGCUCAGAACCUACUCCUGAAGGGAAAGAAUCAUCAUUGAGUGAUCUGGUUAAGUUUGAGGAUUUAUUUAUAUAAUUGAACUGAUUGGAAGCUAUGCAGUGUCGGCCCCCGCCCGAGCAGCUUCAUGAAACGGUGGAAAGAGUUGGAAGAAGUCAUAGAUACUUGCUAUAGGAGCUUCAUGAAGUAUGGAGAGGUGUGGCAUAGAUACUUGCAGUCUCUGAAUUUCCCAAAUCCAAUUUCAGAUUGUGUAUUUAGAUUCGUGGAACUUGUUUUCUUGCUUUUUGUUAGGUACAAUUGAGAUGGGCUGAACCGAAAGGCCCGCCAGGAUGAACAAUAUAAUGGGCCUGAAUUUUAAACCAGCGGAUGGGCUUUGUACUGGAUUCAGCUGUCUGAGCCCAAUGAGUAUUGAAUGUAUUUCUGUAUAAAAUUAAAUUUUUAACAUUGAAAUAUAAGGACUUACUUAAAAACACAUUUGGUAACUUUUUUUUUUUUAUGGUUAAUAAUAGAUUUAAAAAAAAAUUAAAAAUAUAUAAUUUUUUAGGAUAAAUUUGAGGCAUGUUUAGGUAUUUUUCGUGGUAAAGAGUUUUGAGAAGCAAUGGGAAAUAUACAGAAUACUUUAAAAACUUUUGCAUAAGUAAGAUACUUACACGAGGCUUUCAUGAAAAAUAAAUUGAUAAAAACAAUUCUCAUAUUUAAAUUUCGAAACAUAAAACAACUCAGAACUGUUUUUAAAAAUUGUUCUUAAAAAUAGUUUUCUAUUAAGUCACAUUCAAGGAUGCUUUUAUCUUUUAUUUUUCUAUGUUUCAUCCUUGCAUAAAUGGAGUACAAAGACAUAAGUUAAUCUAAUUAACAAAUAUAGAUAAUCAUCCGAUAAAAGAGUAAAUUAGGUGAUGAUCUCUUUAUAUAUGCAAGUAAUGGAAUGAAUGUGAUGAAAAAUAAAAUAAAAAAGUAAGGGGAGAAAUGUUGUAAAUAAAGUGUUUUUAUUGUAGUUCAACGACCUAUCCACUUCCGCACCUUGACAUAUUUCACAAUUUUAAAAGUUUUCUUAAUCAUGAUUCUCUUUAUUAUUCUUUAAGUCCGGAUUUCUUAUGUUUCAAUAGACUUUUACAAUCACUAAGAUAGUGUUUGUUUUUUCACUUAAUUCUAAAUAUAACUUAAAACUAAAUAAUAUUUAAUAAUAUCAGGAUUAGGUUGUUUUUUUUAUAACAUUUUAUUUCUAUAUAAUAUUAAAAAGUAAAGAAAAAUCAAUAUAUUAUUUUUUUCAUUUAAAAAAAGUCAAAUAUUUUGACUUUUUUUUAAGCUAAAAAUUUAUAAUAAAAAAUAAAAAACAAACAAACAAACAAACAACUUAAAGUGUAAAAAUAGAUUGUUUUCAAUAAAAAUUUAAAAAAAAACAAACACCUUCUAAAUAAAAUUCCUUAACCACUCGUUCAAUAGCUCCUUUAAGCACAAAAUGUAUUGAAGUGCUCACAAUGAAAAGAUAAACAAGUUUUGAUUCAAUAUAAUUUUGGGUUAUCUAAUUAAAAGGGUCAUUGAAAACCCAAUUUUAGAAAUAUAACCCUUCAUCAUUUUUUUAUCUCGUGUUAACAAAAAUGCUCUUAUUAUUUUCUUAUAAAAAUAAUCAUUUCUUUUAAAACACACUAUAAAUACUCCAAAUAGCCAAGGGCUUUUAUGUAAAAAAAAAUGAAUUACUCUUCAAAUAAAAAUAUUGGAGGGAAUAAAUUCACAAAUAUGAGGUAUUUCAUCCCUUUUAAAUAAUUAUUUCUAUAAUUUUAAGAGUUUAAGAAGGCUAGACAAAGACUAAUUAUUAGGCACAUUUUGUAAAAACACUAGUUAUUAGACACAUUUUUUGCUCAAUCAAGCAAUCACACAGUUGACUAAACACUAAUUAUUGGACUUUUUUUUUUUAUAAUAAGUGGAAGACAAGAAUACAAUCGACUACUUUGGUCAAUUAAGCAAUCAUUCAGUUGACUAUAAACUAGUCUUUAGACAUUUUUUUUUAUAAUAAUUGGAAGACAUGAAUACAAUCGAUUACUUUGGUCAAUUAAUCAAUUAUUCAAGAAAUUUAGAAAAAUAUUGGAUAAAAGAUAUAUAUAACGGAUUAUUUCAAAUUGAAACUUAAGAUCAUAAAUCUUACUUUUAAUGUUGAAAAAUCAUGUAAAACACAAGUUUUUAUCUUUGAAGUAAUCAAUUUCAUUUUUCACAAAAAAUCAUUAAUAAUACAUGAAUGAAUUCUUUUAAAAAAAUCUUAUAAAAAAUGUGAUUAUUUUUCAUUCCCAAAUAUUUAGGUUCUAAAGGUCAAUUUUAAAGCAUACUUAUCCUUACUAUGCCUUACAAGAAAAUCUAUUCUAUACAUAUGAUCUUGUAAAAAACUGUAAAUAAAAAAGAAAAAAAGAAAAAAAACCUCUCUUGUUUUCCUCUUUUGAUUGGAUAUCAUUAUCAUACUUAAAAUUAAAUAUUUAAUCAAAAUAUUAUUUUACUAUCAUCAAAAUUUAGAUUUAACCAAACUUUAGGCUAGUAUGUUGAUACGACAAGUUAAUUUUCUAUCUUAAAGUUUUAAAAACUUUUGAAAUUAAACAUUUUCUUACACAUUUAUUUUUAAAGUUUUUAGCAUAAAAUUUAAAAUUGAAGCUUUUAAAGGAAAACCUCAUAAUAUAAUAUACUAGAAAGACAUGGUCAAACAAAUAGAGACGAAGCCUCAAAAGGAAGGGGCAAUGGUUGAACCACUUGACAUUGUUGCCUACUACUAAGAUGGUGUAAGAAACAACAUAACCAAUGGAACAUAUGCACAUUAAACAUUGUACAAUUAUUAUAAAUGUCUUAUACAUUAUGUGUGAAAAUACCAAAAAAAAAGAAAAAUUAUAUUCAACAUUUACAUUUGUAUACAAACAAUGUUUUCGACAAUUUGAUAUAAAAAACAAAUAAAAAAAAUAAAGAAAAACAUACAAAUAUAUUUACAAUGGACAAACUUAUUCAAUUAGUAUAAAUAUCUUGUAUAUUUAAUACAAAUACCUUAUACUUUGUGAAAAUGUAAAAAUAUAGUAUUUAAUAUUUAUACAUGUGGGUAAGUAAUUUUUCUAAUGGUUUGAUUUAAAAAACAAAUAAUGAGAAUCAAGAAAAACAUGCAAAUAAAUUAGUGUGAAUGAUAAAGGGUGUUUUUUACCAUAAAUUUUCAUGGACUUAGCAUCAAUUAUGCAUCUAUAGAUGUUAACCCAAUUAGCAUAAUGUGAAAACCCUUGCACACAAUAUAUAAACCCUAUACUUGAAUUAGGAAGGACAAAAAAAAAAUAGUUAGAGCAAUUGGUACCAUCAAUGAUGACUUCACCUAAAGAAAGGUUAAUGAACAUUAUGUUCUCAACGGAGAGCAACUCUGGUAGAACAUAUGGAGUAAAUCAAUGCCCUUCUUUUAACGAUGAAGUAGCUAAGUCAUGAAAACAAGGUUUUGCUAACAACAUUAAAGGCAAGAAUUCCCCCAAUAUACUCCAAUUCAUAUUCAAUUCACAGACCUUCAACUAACUACUCUCAGUAACGAGCAAACCCAAGUCAAUACAUAAGAUUGAUUAUUACUUAUGAUAAUUGAAACCCUAAUUAAAUAAAUAAGGACACAAAUAUAUAUAUAUAUAUAUAGGGACAGUUGUGUUUUGGACCUAGGUGAACCCAAAAAUUAAGGUUUGGUUUAUAUAACUUACAUAAUUGAUGAAAAUGAUAUAAGAUAUCAAAAUAUCAAAAUACUCAUUGACCUUUCACAUAAGCUUUUUUGGUAUUUAUUGCACUACUAUUCAUUCAACCAUAAUAAUUCUAUUUUAACUAUUUGGAUUUUUCAUUGUUUUUUAAAACUUUUUAUUUAUAAAUAAUUGAAAAUCAACAUUAUUUUCUAUUUUAAAUUAUAAAUAAAGAAAAAUUACGUUCGAAAACUAUUUUAAAAAAUACUUUCUAAAAAAAAUGGUAAUAUGAUUUAUAUUUUUUAUAUUUUCUUUUAGAAAAAAAUAUUUAAUUAAAAAAUGAAAAAUAUUUUUAAAAAUAAAAAUUGGAAACCUUGUUUAGUACUAUUUUUUUUAUAUAAAAAUAAUAAAAAUAAUUAAAUUUCAUUUAUUGAUUAUCCAUUAAAUUUUAUAUGAAAAUUUUGUAUAAGAGUAAAAAGAUUCAAUAUCUUUAAAAAAAGAAAAAAAAAACAAAACAAAAAGUUAGAAAUGAGUAAUACUUAAUUGGGAAUAGAAAAUGGGAAAAAUUUUGAAAUUUACACUCACUAUAUGUCUACGUAGGGAUUAAGGGUAUUUUAGGGAUUAAUGAAGGAUAAUAUCUUUUAACUUAAUUUUUACAUUUUAUUUGGGUCUUGGGAUUAAAUGUACAUUAUAUAUGGAUCUUUGGUUAAUUUUUGGACCCAUCCGGACCCAAAACACAAUUCUCCAUAAAAAAAUAUUUAUUAAAAUAAAUAAAUUAAUAAAAACCAUUUAGAGAGUUUCAUAACUUAGGUGGUGUUUGUUUUUUUGGCUUUUUGGUGAAAACCAUUUAGUUUUAGAAUUUAGGUUGUUUGUUUUUUUACUUUUUCAUGACUUAUUAUAAACUUUUUACAAAAUAGAAAAAGCCAAAAUAUAUGACUUUUUCUAAAUAGAAAAAUAACACAAUGGUUUUUUUUACUUUUUAAUACUUAAUAGAAAUAAAAUAUUAUAAAAACAAACAACCUAAUAUUUAAUACUAUUAAGUAUUAAAGUUCUAUUUAGAAUUAAGUAAAAAAACAAACACCACCUAAGUGUCGAAGCUAUUGUAAGAAAAAAGUAUUAUAUAAUGUAGGGUUUAGGUUCAAAGUCUACCUAAGAUUAAAUUUAAGUCUUAAGACAAAUUCACAUUCAAAACUAGGUUUUUAAGUUAGAAAAAUAGACCCCUUAAACCAAUUAAAUGGUAAAAAAAAAUUACAAAGAAAAUUUCUCUAGCUGGUUUCUUCAUCUUGAAAACUAACGGAAACAUAUAUCAAUAUUUGGUAUGAAAAUUCGUAACCUUAGAAACACAGCUUUGAGUCUUGCUGAGAAAAACAAAGCUUAUUUGCUCGUAGACCAUCGUAGUGGUCGUCAUACCGUGUGAGGACCGGGGAAGCAUCUUUGCUCGUAGACCGGCUUUUGUAGUCUUUCUUUAACAAUUGCAAGUUGUCAGGAUUCCCUUCAUCCUCCUAUAUAAUAUUGUUUUUGGUCUUGUUCUGGUUGUAUCUCCGUGGAAGGAAGGAAGAUGAAUCAAGUUCCUUUGUAUGUAUCAAUGUCUCUGAUUCAUUUUUUGGUUCCUAGAAUCGAAUCCUCGCUCUGUUCUUGCUUAAUUUCUCCUUUUUCUGUUGGGUCUUUCACUGCAGGUUUAGCUCUGCACGGGAACUGGCAAAUUUGGUGCUGGCCUCCAAUCUAAUCGACUGUGCUUUCACCAAAAUUCUUGAACUUAAGAGAGGCCAAACAGCCUUGCCUGUUCAAUACAGACUUUAUCAACUGUCUUCCAAGUGCACAAUUGUAGCUUUUGUCUCUUCACCUGACUGCACUCAAUACCCUCUUCCUGGACAAGGAGAUUUAGAUCGGUCUCCUCUCUUUGACUUCCUCCGUACCGAAGAAUACCCGUCCGUCUCCAUUAACAGAGCAGCAUUAGACCUCUUUACCCCUCUCCAUGAUCAUCUCUCUGGACUAACAGAUGAGGUCAAAAUCUGAUACUUGUUUGAAUUUUCGUUUCCUUUUCGUUAACAAUUGUGAGACACGAAACAGCUUGACCAUGAGAUCUCCCUCAUGGAGUCGAACUACCUGAAGGAUAAGACGUCACACAUAUCCAUUUUCAUGGCAUCGUCACAUGACCCAUUGAUCGGUUGUGAUUCAACUCUUAAUAGGAAUACAGUAGAACCGGUGUUGGUAUCUGUCUUUAGAUCAGCUUGCAUAUAUCUUGUCACUGAAAAAGGAAUGUUCAGAAGUGAGAUUAGUGGCAUUAUUCUGACAUGGAUUUCAUAUGGUUACUUGUUUUGCAGUUGACUCGGAUUGAAGGUCAAUUAAUCAUCACUGGGCACUCCCUGGGAGGAUCCGUUGCUUCUCUCUUCACCUUACGCCUGCUAGACGGCAAUUUAUUAAAGCCCAAAUGCCAUCCCUUUUGUAUCACCUUUGGUUCACCCCUCAUAGGCGACUUUGGCCUCCAAGACUCCAAAUGGAAUUCUUUCUUCCUGCAUGUAGUGUCUAACCAAGACCCAGUCCCCGGACUCUUCCUCCCAUCCGGCAGAUCUCCGCCCACAUCCUCCCAUUCACAAACUACCGGUUACAAGCCCUUUGGGACAUAUCUCUUGUGCUCUGAACUUGGUUGUGCUUGUUUUGACAACCCUGAUUUAAUUUUGAGAUUGCUGAAAGUCAUAUCAUCAGAGGUUGCCGGAGGAUUGCAGGAUGUUGAUUAUGGGGAGAUUUUAAGAAACCUCAAGGAGAGGGCAAUCUGCAAGGGACUGCCGCAGGUGGGUGAACGGUUUGCAGAUCCAUUUUCAGCUGGGAUCAUCAUGGAACUUGAGACAAUUGGAUUUAAUCAAACAAAGGUAAACAGCUUUCUCCCAUCUAAUGAUGUUAUGAAACAUGGUUUACACUUCACCAUAUACUGCAAUAACUGCCCUAUUCAGAUUUAUCUUCUUGUUCUUUGGGAUCUUCCAUAACUCGUCUCAUUUUUAAAAUUCAUGCCAGCUGCUGCAGCAUAACAUUGAUAUCGACGCUAUGAUAAGAACAAUGGAAGAGGAAACCAGAAGCCUAAUCCAGAAAAAUAAAGCUUCCGAUGCCAAGAAACUGAAUGACAUAAAAAGAGACAUGGCCCAUCUAGAAUGGUAUAAGAAGAAAUCGGAAAUGGGUUACUACGAUUGCUUCAAAAACCAGGGGUCUAAAAGGGACAUCCACGUUGAACAGUUUAGGGUAAACCUCACAAAAUACUGGAAAGACAUGGUUGCACAAGUACAGAGGAAGCCCCAGAAGGAAGGAGCAACAUUUCGAACCCGUUGGCUCUAUGCAGGGACAGUUUAUAGGAGAAUGGUUGAACCACUGGACAUUGCUGCCUUCUACGGAGAGGGUAAAACAGACUACAUAAACAAGAAAAGAUCUCUUCAUUACCAGCUGUUGCAGCAAUGGUAUGAGGAAGAUGUGAAACCCCCCUCUAGAGAUAAGCUUGAUUCCAAGAAGCAAAAGGUGUCUGGUAUCCUAACUGAGGAUUCUUUGUUUUGGGCAUAUGUGGAGGAGGCCAUCUUGUCAUGCGAAUUGCUCAAGAGUCAAAACUGUAC